rnacentral:lncRNA from 1 species
GCCAAACCUCAUGGCUGUCGUGGGUUAAAGCUAAGACAAGCCGGGUCAAGACAACAUAACAGCAUCAGCUUCAGUGAAGACAUGAUGAUGGCCACUGGGUGGCUUCACUCCCAAAGCUUUCAGACUGCAGCUCAAAACCUGUGUCUGAGGCCACAAAUGAAAAGCAAACAAGAGCAACAAUGAAUACUUGGUGUGCAAGCAAAUAGGAAGAGGGCACCAGAUCUCAUAAUGGAUGGUUGUGAGCCACCAUGUGGUUGCUGGGAAUUGAACUCAAGACCUCUGGAAGAGCAGUCGGCACUCUUAACCUCUGAGCCAUCUCUCCAGCCCCUAGAAGAUACAAUCUUACAGCAGACUUCCUGGGCCUCUGGUUUUCAUAGCCUUUCAUCCCUAAAACAACAAUUCUUGAACUGGGGGAGCCAUAGCAAGGAUCUGUAACAACUGAAGAAGGGACAGGGUUAAUUCUACCAUGCCUCUUGAAUCAGAAUGACUUUCUGCAGCACCCUGUGAGGCUCUACUGGAGUGACUCCAAACAUGGAAAGUUUCUUC